rfam:Triticum aestivum genome assembly, contig: Triticum_aestivum_CS42_TGACv1_scaffold_320536_4BL
CUUAUACUCCCUCCGUUUCAAAUUACUUGUCGGAGAAACGGAUGUAUCAAGAACUAAAAUACAUUUAGAUACAUCCAUACCUACGACAAGUAAUUCGGAACGGAGGGAAUAGUUU